CAAGGGACUUAAGUCAAAAUUGAGUGCUCCGGUGGAAACACCGGAUGUAGAACUGCUCAAAUUCGGGGAACCCUGUCAGAUGGCAAUCCCGAGCCAAGCCUCGCAAGAGGAAGGUGUAGAGACUAGACGGGCAGCACCUAAGGCAUUUGCUACGGUGAAGGUAUAGUCCAGACCACAAACG
rnacentral:ncRNA from 1 species